rnacentral:rRNA from 1 species
CUUCCGCCCGGCCGGACCGGCGCACGGUCGGAGGUAACACGUAUGCAACCUGCCCCUGUCAGGGGGACAACCCGCCGAAAGGCGGGCUAAACCCGCGUACAUGCCACCGGGGCAUCCCGGAGGCAGGAAAGGCUUCGGCCGGACAGGGAUGGGCAUGCGGCGCAUUAGGCAGUAGGCGGGGUAACGGCCCACCUAACCGACGAUGCGUAGGGGUUCUGAGAGGAAGGUCCCCCACACUGGUACUGAGACACGGACCAGACUCCUACGGGAGGCAGCAG